GCAUAAUGAUGAGGAAUUUGUGUGACUGAUUCUUUUGUAUGAAGAAUUAAUUACCUCCUACUCAUACUGA